rnacentral:rRNA from 1 species
GAUGAACGCUGGCGGCGUGCCUAAUACAUGCAAGUCGAGCGAACAGACGAGGAGCUUGCUCCUCUGACGUUAGCGGCGGACGGGUGAGUAACACGUGGAUAACCUACCUAUAAGACUGGGAUAACUUCGGGAAACCGGAGCUAAUACCGGAUAAUAUAUUGAACCGCAUGGUUCAAUAGUGAAAGACGGUUUUGCUGUCACUUAUAGAUGGAUCCGCGCCGCAUUAGCUAGUUGGUAAGGUAACGGCUUACCAAGGCGACGAUGCGUAGCCGACCUGAGAGGGUGAUCGGCCACACUGGAACUGAGACACGGUCCAGACUCCUACGGGAGGCAGCAGUAGGGAAUCUUCCGCAAUGGGCGAAAGCUUGACGGAGCAACGCCGCGUGAGUGAUGAAGGUCUUCGGAUCGUAAAACUCUUUUAUUAGGGAAGAACAAAUGUGUAAGUAACUAUGCACGUCUUGACGGUACCGAAUCAGAAAGCCACGGCUAACUACGU